GUCUGUCGGGCGGCGGGCCACCACACGUGCUCGUGUGAGGGCGAGAAAGGGCUGCCCCUCCCUUGGCCUAGUUCAUUCUGGAAACCCUCGCCGCCACCCGGUUUGGGAGAAAACGCCGAUAGCGACGACUGCAUCGGGUGCUUGCGGCGGCGCUAGUUCUUCGCCGUCGACAAGAAGGGGAUGGAAGCUACGGUUCCCAUUGAGAGAGGAGUUCGAUGAAAGCCUUGAACAGCCAGAUCCGUUUCCCCUCCUUGUCCUGCUAGAGAACGGGGCCAGAAAUUCGGACACUGGUGAUUCAAAUGUUGGGCCUGGGGUCGCUCAGAAGGUGGGAGACGAUGCCACAGGUGGAGCGGGUGAAGGUUUGCGCCGUCGGCGUGAUGCAUCUCCGACGAGGUCGGCCCAGUUGACCGACAAAGCAAAUCCAGAGGCCCCUGACUGGUCUAAAAGGCUUCGUCUAGACAGUGCGCCACCAAACAGAGCAAUCAUGUCCCUCCCGGUUGAUCGCUCUGGAGCAGUCAAUCCACAAGUAUGUAGAGCAAACUGACAAGAGUGUAAUACAGCCUGACAAAGGUUGUGAACCAUGGGAGAGAAGGUGCACUGGCCUUCUCAUUAGCACAUUGACGUUUACACCAAGGAUUUGUUAAAGCAGCAGAGAGAAAACAUUGUGAACCUGGGGGAAGUCUAUAUGAUAAUUGGUAGCUUUUUUGGUUGCGUUGAGAAGGUGCCAUUCAUGAAAAGGACUCUUAGUAAUAUUUGUGGAAAGAUUAGUCGUGAACAAGCUGUAGAUGAUGUAAGGAAGACGCUGGAGGUGUUUGCUGACAUCCGUUCUACUGACCCUGGCUUCACCUAUGUGGUUUUGAUUGACAAGUCCAUCAAGGUUAAAAGUCUCAUGUGGGCUAAUGGGAGCAGCAGAAUGCAAUACAAGUUAUUUGGUGAUGUGGUCACAUUCGACACUACAUACAGGAUAAACCUUUAUGACAUUGCCGUCUGGGUUAUUGUCGGAGUUAACAACCAUUUUCAGAUCAUUAUUCUGGCAGGGGUGUUGAUGCGGGAUGAACAAGAAGAAAGCUUUCAAUGGGUUUUCGCGGAUGAUGGGAGGCCGUGCCCCAGAGAGAAUACUCACAGACCAAUGCAGGGCUAUGGAGAUGUCGAUCAGUAAGAUUUAUCCAGCUACUGUUCACCGGUGGUGCAGGUGGCAUGUUCUGAAGAAAGCGAAGGAAACCCUGGGACUGCUAUACACGAAGAAGAGCGACUUCCAGGCUGAAUUUCAAAAGGUUGUGAACCACAUGCUAACUCAAGAUGAGUUUGAGGCGGCUUGGGGCUUGUUGUUGGACAAAUGUAAUCUGAGGAAGCACACGUACAUGACCCAAAUAUAUGAAACCAGGAAAAAGUGGGCACAACCGUACUUCAAGCGUGUGUUUUGCGCAAAAAUAACGAGCACCCAACGCACUGAGAGCGCAAACCAUGUGUUGAAGAUUUACAUGCCUCCUGCUAGCCCAAUGCAUGUUUUCGUAGGCAGUACAUGAGGUUGCAAUUUGACCGCGAGGGUGAGGAAAGCUACGAGGAAAAGAGGACACUGAUUGGUGGAGCCGUAAGGAGAACCAACCUUUGCAAUAGAGUGGCACACAAGCAAAAUCUACACUAGGAAUAUGUUUGAGGAAUUUGGCCGCCUCCUAAUUGAAGGGAUGGCAUACAAUGUCACUGAAGUGGAGAGGUUCAGGAAAUAUAUAACAGCUCACAACAAUGCAGCAAAAAGAGAAAAAUGGAGCAGGGUUGAGUAUGAGGUGACCAUAAACGAGACCAAUCAGUAUUCACUUGCGAGUGUGGCCAGUUUGAGCACACUGGGAUGUUGUGCAGCCAUGUCUUGAGGGUCAUGGAUAUACUUCAUCUGGAGGAAAUCUCUAAGCACCAUAUUGUCGAGCGGUGGACAAAAGACGCAAGAGAUAUACUUCCGAAGCACUUGGUUUAGUACCAGAAAGACAAUUCAGCAAACUUGUCAUUCACAUGCAGAAGCGCGAAGCUAUACCUUAAAGCCAUGGAAGUCAUGCGGAUGGGCGAUGCAAGUGCUGCAUCUUUUGAUCACACUAGAUGACCCGGUGCGCCAAAUGGCGCAGAGACCCAAUUGAAACCAUGUUCGUUUUGAGAAAGAUUUGCCUUUUUUAGUAACUUUAUGUUUGAUCAAGGAUAGAGACCAUGUCAAACCCGAAGUGUUAUGAACGUGUAUUUGGACAAUGUGACAUUUGGCUCUAUGUUACCCAAGUAAGGUGCAAGGUCCAAAUUCAAGCA